AUUUACAAAUAUUAGGUGCAAAUAUUAAUGUAAAUUUAAAAACUCCGACAACUAUGUGGUGAUCAAUUGGGAGCUUAUGUCACGCUCCCAAAAAACCAUCAUUUGUCAAACAGUCAAACAUGUAAAUAAAAACGUUUGCACAGUUUAGUAGGAGUUAUUAAAUUAUACUAUUAGUUAGCUCGAAUUAAGUUAUUUUUAAUACAAAAAUACUUCAUAAGUUCGAUAAGAAUAAGUUCUAUAUUAAGGAUUCUGACCAUCCUUAGUACUACAAAUGAAUUUGCUAAACAAUUUCCUUUUACGCUGUGCUGUAGGAAGCCACAAAUUGCUUCUAUGUUUCGCUUGCUACUAAACUUUUACAUCAUAAAGCUGCAACAAACAAACCAUCCGGAACGGAAAUGACCACGUGUCAGAGAAAAGGAAAAGAAAAAAAACCCGUUUAAUCCACUAACUAAUGUUUCCCCCCCGCGGGAAGGAAAAGUCAACGAUUGCGAUGAGGCACAAAACAGUUGCAACCAAUUAUACCACCAUCCUGGGCCUGGUGAAGCAUUUUCCACUUUCCCAACAAAUCGAAUGCCCGAAAUCAAUCACACACCAGCGCAGUACAUUUUGCUUUCAUGUCGGUCCAGCUCCUGCUAACGACGGGUUCGCACAAAUGGAAGACAAAUAAAUAUCAAAUAGAAUUACCCCGCGGGCAUAAUCUUCCACCUUCUUGCCUGGAAGGUGAUUCGUUCCUUCUUUCUUUUUUUUUGUGAAUCCUUUUUCACAAUCUUCCACACAGAUGAAAGUGAAAUGUGUGUGAUGAAAGUUUGCCAGUUUUCUUUCGGGUCCCAAUGUCCAAUGUUUCGUGUCUUUGAUCAAUUUCCGCUAGUGCAAAUAGACAAGAAUUCUCGUGUACGUGGUUCCAACUCAAAAAAAAACAAACUCGGGGUUUGCUGUCCAGCGCCACAUAUCAGACAUUGGUGGGGAUUCGGAUGUGUGCCAAAUUUGUCCAGACCCCGGAGUGUUUUUCUUUUUUCUUCUCUCUCUUCUGUCCGUUCACUUCAAUAAAGGAAAUCAAUUCGCCCGGUAAUCUGUUUAUGAUUGUCAUAAAUUAUGUCCAGCCCCUUUGGCUUUCUGUUUCUUUCGUGGAUGUGAAUCUGGGUACGCGCGUGCCGCCUUUGAUCCGAGGCGUCUUGUCUUGAGGCAUGUAAAUAUGUAGUCUCAUCCAUUCGGUGUGUUUGUUGCGUGCCACUGUUUGCUAAAAUGGUUUAAAUCUAUUUUCCUUUAUUUUUUUUAGUUUAGGUCAUUUCAAAAACGACAUUUUUUUUAACACACCCUUUCUUACCCACGGCUGAAUGUUACAUCUGCCAACAUAUCGGUUUUAUUUUAGCAACGGAUUUAUUUACCCAAAAAAAAACAGUCACCCCUAACACCAACCGACUACUGGUCAAUCUGUAGAUGAAAAGUACAAUUCAGAAGAGAGUAAAAAAUAUAAGAAUAAAGAGUUAAUGCCCACCCGUUUAGCAGCCCAACCUAUUACCGUGACCCGUUCCUGCCCAUUAGGGUAUCGUUGGACUGUGACGCAUCCUUCUUUCAUACAUGUUGGAUGCAGAUCGUUUUGCGAUGUGGAAACAAAAAAUCAGCAUGAAACACGCUAAGUACUUCCCCGAUGGCCGAUAAUCGAAUUUCCCUUCGACUAUCGGACAUCCGGAUGCCAACUGGCCCGUUGUACCGUAAUAGAAAUAUCAAAAACAAUCCCAAAAAUCGGAUAGCCACAUUGCAGAAUGGCAAAAACGAUAAUUCAACUAGAUCGAAAGGGUUUUUUUGGUUGUUUGGUUUGGUGUGCUGAAAACCGUGUUCGAGACCAACGUAAGGCCCCAAGAUCGUCAAUUGUCGCUCGGGCAAAGUAUGCAACCAAUGAAGCAGAGCGCAACGGAACGCAUUUACGGUGCACGAUUUUUUACGGCGCUAUAAUAAAUCUAAUUUAGAGAGUGAGUGUCGCUUACGGUUGGGCACUUGGGAUGCGGAACUCUGGUUUUUUUUUGGUAGAAAAGGGGUUGGCAAAGGAAGGUGAAGCAAAGGAACCACCCAGGAUUGUGUGUUGUGUCCUGCCAAAAAAAGGGGGUGUACCGUUGUGUACAAUUGCAUUUAAGAUUUUUGGUUUUUCUCCCUACUUUACGGUCUUGCGGUGACCUUUUGUCCACGGGUGUUCCCGGUUUUUUUUUCUUCUUUCGAUAAUACGCUCAAGAGCCGGAACGGAAUUAGCACAAAAAGCGUAAGGAAUGGGAGCGAAAAAAAUAUAUAUAUACUCCAAACCCAAACAUUGAUCACCCGUUAAUGAGGGAUUAUGAGGCGGAUAUUGAUGUCAUCGCGUGUAACGGAGCCACCGUUACGCUGUUUUUUUGUUCUCUCCUACGGAUGUCCUUGCGCGUCGCGUAGCCUACUUUUCAGGGGGACGUUUUUUUUCCCUGCGCGCAUGGACACAACAGAGCUAAUCAGGCGAACUAAAACCAUCUCGGUGCAGCGAAAACAAACACAAACAUUUCUGCUUCAUUCGUUUUUUUUUGACCCCCUCGAGCGAUGAAGGGUCGCUAGGAAUGUCCCUUCGCAGUUUUAUUUUAUUUUCAAUUUUCUUUCUUUUUUUUUGGUGGAAAAUCUGAAACCAAAAAUCACGCAACUGCAAAACAAAAUCAAUGCUAACCCUUAGGAGAGAGAGAAAAAACGGUAGCAUCGCUUUACGCUUCAUUUUUUUUUUGUCGCUACGCUACGCACGUUUCGAUUUUGAAGCAUUUUAACCCAAAAAAUAUAUAUAUUUUUAUCAUCGCAAAAAAAAAGGGGGAAGUAAAUCAUAUUACCCAAUUGCUUGUUAGAGAGCGCAAAAGAUUCAGGUUCAUAUUUCUACUACCGUACGGACACGGCAUGGUGGAGAAGCUAACCAACAAAAAAAACGGUAUACAUUUUCAGAAUAAAACUCUAUUAAACGAAACUGCACAACAUAUUCUAGGCAGCAGCAACAACAAAAAAAAACUCCAUCUAAUGGGAUAAUUAAAUCGCAAUCUUCGGUUACGGACAGGUUUCUCUCCGUUCGCUGUUUGGCACUGAUUAGCGUUUCCGGGUUUGGCGUUAUGUAUGUGGCAACCGUAACAACCCCUUUAACCUAUGGGUAAUUUUUUCCCUCUCUCUCUCUGCUCCCUAUCUCCUGUCUACCUUGUCUUGUCCAAACUUCUUUUUAUGACCGCAACAAAAGUGGUUCACUGUGCUUGUGCAGGCAUAAAAAAAGAGCGAAAAAGACCAAGUAAUUAUCGUAAAUCAGUUGCAUCACAGAGUGCAAAACCUUUUGGCGGACGUUUGGGUUUACCGGAUGACAGGAUGAGUGUAGUUUUGUUCCGUUUUUUUUUGUUAGUUAGUUCCAUUUUUAGUUAAAUGGUAAAUCCUUUUUUCCUUUCCCCAUUUUUCUCGCACAAAAAAAUGGCAUUCCGGGGUUUUUUUUUGCGGAUGGCAGGGUUAGCGUUCAAUCGUGUACGCGCCUGACCGGUAUGCAAUCCGGUGUCCGGUGUACGCUAGUGGAGGUUGAUUUAUCGGUGGCCCAUUAUGUGUGAUCGCCAAGCGUGCAGGCUAAAUUGAUGUUUGCCCAUUUGUUGCCCUGUUAGGUUUUGCAAUUCUUCUUCUGCUUGUGUCCGUUGUUUUUUUUUUUGCGUUGCAUUGUCGUCUUGACCACUUUCCCUCUGCAUAAUGCUGAAAGAGUAGAUACAGACACAUUAUUCUUUUUUCUUCUCGCUUUUUUUUAUAGCCUUGCUGUGAAUAACAAAAAAAAAAGGUAGCCAGAGAUGAGCACAUGAGCACGUCCAUCAUUCGUGGCGAGCAGAAUUCAAUCGGGUGACAAAGCGUUUGAAGGAAACAAUGGAAAUAAAUGCUCGCACACCCGAAGCGCCCUCCCCGCCUGGAAGUACAAAUGCUUGUUUGAGCUCAAUCCACGACCCGGUCACAAUGGGAUCCAGGAUGUACGAAACUCUGUGUACCGGUCAACUCGUACAACCGGUCGGGACGUGAAGCAACCCUGUAGUAAUCAUAAGUGAAACCGAGCAAGCACAAAACAAAGCCCGCAAACGCGACCGAAAAUCCCUGAUUGGAUCACUCCGCUAAAUCCGGCGUACACAGUUUGAUGGACUAUCUCCAUCAUGGUGCUAGCGAUAUUCAGACGACAAGCGUAAGGAAAUGCAACUCGAGCCGUUCUGCCAGCUUCCC